UACGUAGGGUGCGAGCGUUGUCCGGAAUUAUUGGGCGUAAAGAGCUCGUAGGCGGCUUGUCGCGUCGGAUGUGAAAGCCCGGGGCUUAACUCCGGGUCUGCAUUCGAUACGGGCAGGCUAGAGUUCGGUAGGGGAGAUCGGAAUUCCUGGUGUAGCGGUGAAAUGCGCAGAUAUCAGGAGGAACACCGGUGGCGAAGGCGGAUCGCUGGGCCGAUACUGACGCUGAGGAGCGAAAGCGUGGGGAGCGAACAGG
rnacentral:rRNA from 1 species